rnacentral:pre_miRNA from 5 species
AGUGGAAUUGCUGGAUCAUAUGGUUUCUGUGUUCACCUUUGGGAGGAACUGCCAAACUCUUUUCCACAGUGGCUACACCACUUUACAUUUUCAUCAGCAAU